GUCAAGGGGCGAGCACACACUGUUUGCGAUCUCUCUUUUCUUUUCUCUCUUUCCUUUUUCGCAUGGUAAUCAGAGAGAGGGAAAAGAGAGAGACAAUAAAGAACACAGAGAAGAGGGGAGAGACAGAUAAAAAGACGAAAUUGACCUCAAUCUCUCCGUUCUUGCUGUUUCUGCUUCUUGUUUGUUUCUUCUGUCUCUCAAUUU
rnacentral:misc_RNA from 1 species